rnacentral:lncRNA from 1 species
UAUGAAAAUAGUAGACCUACACAAGGCCUUUGGUCUGAUUCUCUACUGUUCUCUCCAUAGAGUACUCUCUCACUCCCCAAGAAUACAUAGAAUAAUGAAGACACAUCCUGUGUAGGCUAAUACAUGCAACGAAUAGCCACUGAAAGAUGAAAAUAGGAGACCCAUAUGGGUUUUGAUGGGGAUAACGUCAAAGGGGCAGGCUACACUCAGUAAUACAAUAAAGUGUUACAGCGUUUGUGUUCAGCACAUUCUUUGCUUGUAAUCUGUUAAUUACUCACAGUAACAUUUGACACUUUAUCAUCUUAAUGGUAAUGUUUAGUUGAUGUAUUCAGGCACUAUAACCACUAUCUACUGUAUGUAUGAGGUCCUACAGCUGCGCCACUUGUUACUUCCUGACUGAGUCACUGCUCAACUUGAUUAGAAAAGCCAUACAUGACAAGCGAGGGUGGGGCGCUCUAUGUUGAACCAACACUUUCUCACCAUACACAUGUCUACUGGAAGACCAGUCAUUGUUAUAAGAAUCUCCCACCACCAAAGGACCAAGCAGCAGAGGAAGGAGCAAAGGGAUUUCGAGUUGGACUGGCGGGAGAAAUGGACCUGGGAGGAAGUUCUGGACGGGGCUGGACCUUGGCACCAGGCUGGGGAGUACCGUCGCCCACGGGAGGAAAUUGAGGCAGCCAAGGCAGAGAGGCGGAGGUACGAGGCCUUGGACGCGCUGAGGGAGAAGCACGAGAGGCACCCCCAAUAAUUAUUUUGGGGGGGCACACGGGUAGUUUGGCUAGGCCAAGGAAGAGCCGGAAGCCAGCUACCCGUGGUUAUAUGGAGGAGCGUAUGAGGUGGAGGGCGCCAUGUUUCGCUGAAGAGCGCACUCUCACCCAUACGCACGCACAGUCCAGUGCGCGUUAUUCCAGCCCCUCGCAGGUGCUGUGCUAGAGUGGGCAUCCAGCCUGGUAGGAGGAUGCCUGCGCAGCGCAUCUGGUCGCCGGUACGCCUCCGAGGACCAGGCUACCCAACUCCCGCUCUACGCACGGCUACCAUCAGGCCCCUGCACAGCCCAGUCCACCCUGUACAAACACCCCGCUCGUACAGGGCUACUAGUUCCAUCCAGCCAGGACGGGUUGUGCAGGAGGUAAGAUCAAGACCGCCUGUGCGCCUCCAUAGCCCGGUGUUUCCAGUUCCUGUCUCUCGUGCGGACCCGGAAGUGCGUCAGCCUAGUCCGACUCGUCCUGUUCCCGCUCCCCGCACUAGCCUGGAGGUACGUGUUCCCAGUCUGGUACGUCCAGUACCAGCACCACGCACCAGGCUUCAAGUGCGUCAUCCCAGUCUGACGUCACCAGAGCCGCCCGUCAGUCAAGAGUCGCCAGAGCCGCCCGUCAGUCAAGAGUCGCCAGAGCCGCCCGUCAGUCGAGUCGCCAGAGCCGCCCGUCAGUCAUGAGUCGCCAAAGCCGCCCACUAGUCAGGAGCCGCCAAAGCCGCCAGACUGCCCGGAGCUGCCAGAGUGGCCAGACUGCCCGGAGCUGCCAGAGUGGCCAGACUGCCCGAAGCUGCCAGAGUGGCCAGACUGCCCGGACCUGCCAGAGUGGCCCAUCGGCCCAGAGUCUAGCAACAACCUUGAACUGAUGGGAGGAGUCGGAGUGACCAGCCAGUAACCAGUACAUGGAUACAGCCAACUGUGCUUUCUCAGAUCCUUCACCAUCAAGGAUAGAGCAGAAAGACACCAGCAGUGAAAUCAACACAAACUACUACACCAACAAUCACCAAUAUGGCAACAUAGAAGCUGAAGGGAAUGACGGCCCCAUUCGAGUGUGAUGGUGGAGAUGAUUCAGUCUAUGGUAACGUGUGAACACAACAGGAAGCAUGUGGAAGUCAGCUGGCCCAGAGCCCAUGGUACUCAGUCUGUCAAAGGUUUCAGUAAAAUAUUAUGUAGCAGAACUGGUGACUGCUUAUAUUUGUUAGCUUGAUGUAGCUUUAUGGUUCUAAUGACAAAAGAAUAUGGUACAUUCUUAUUUGGGCUGUGGCUUUGUUAUAGCUUUUACAAGGCUUAUGUUUAUUAUCUGUGGCUUGGGUAAUUCAGAAAUGUUUUUUACUAAAUGUCAUUUAUACACAAUACAAACCAGUAUUUAGCUAUAUCUCCUUUCACACUUCCCAGAUGUCUGUUGAAAUUGUGUCUUGAGGGUAAUCUGAGGAUAGAAUACGAGUGUGGGACUUUCAGUUCCUCCAUUUGGGGUUGCUCUUUCAUUUAUUGAGAUGUUCAACGUCUGUUUAUUUCCAUAGGGUUUGAGUUAUUUCACAAUACUGAUUUUGUCAAUAUACUGCCGCAUUAGGUUUUUUGACCCUCUAUAAUAACAUACCAGUAACAGUUAUGCAAAUCAGAUUAUAAUGCAUUUGAAUUAGGUUAUGAUUGU